rnacentral:rRNA from 1 species
GACUCUGGGAUAAGCCUGGGAAACUGGGUCUAAUACCGGAUACGACCAUCUGGCGCAUGUCAUGGUGGUGGAAAGCUUUUGUGGUUUUGGAUGGACUCGCGGCCUAUCAGCUUGUUGGUGGGGUAAUGGCCUACCAAGGCGACGACGGGUAGCCGGCCUGAGAGGGUGACCGGCCACACUGGGACUGAGACACGGCCCAGACUCCUACGGGAGGCAGCAGUGGGGAAUAUUGCACAAUGGGCGCAAGCCUGAUGCAGCGACGCCGCGUGAGGGAUGACGGCCUUCGGGUUGUAAACCUCUUUCAGUAGGGAAGAAGCGAAAGUGACGGUACCUGCAGAAGAAGCGCCGGCUAACUACGUGCCAGCAGCCGCGGUAAUACGUAGGGCGCAAGCGUUAUCCGGAAUUAUUGGGCGUAAAGAGCUCGUAGGCGGUUUGUCGCGUCUGCUGUGAAAGACCGGGGCUCAACUCCGGUUCUGCAGUGGGUACGGGCAGACUAGAGUGCAGUAAGGGAGACUGGAAUUCCUGGUGUAGCGGUGAAAUGCGCAGAUAU